AGCUCAGUAGUGUAUGUAGCACAUUAGUUUGCAAAACUAAUAGAGAAUUAUUCUUGGGCUU
rnacentral:tRNA from 1 species